rnacentral:sRNA from 1 species
UUUUGUACUUUUAGAUAGAGGCCAAUAUUAGUAUCUUUCCCACUAUGAAGCUCCUGUGUAAUUGCUGUUUAAAUGUUAGAGGACCAUGCAAACCCAAGAGAGCUAAGUUUGGAUUGCUUUUUGAGUAGUUGUUAACAGGAAUGAAAAUUUCUAGGAUGCCAUCUUCUUUAUUUACAGACCUACAUUCAGAAUUUUUGGGUUUUGGGGUCUUUCUUGUUUUAUAGGUGGAAGAUGGUAUCUUGAAGUUGAGGAAUGCUGGCAAUGAACAAGACUUAGGAAUCCAGUAUAAAGCCCUAAAACCUGAAGUGGAUAAGCUGAACAUUAUGGCAGCCAAAAGACAACAGGAAUUGAAAGAUGUUGGCCAUCGUGAUCAGAUGGCUGCAGCUAGAGGAAUCCUGCAGAAGAACGUUCCGAUCCUGUAUACUGCAUCCCAGGCAUGCCUACAGCACCCUGAUGUCGCAGCCUAUAAGGCCAACAGGGACCUGAUAUACAAGCAGC